rnacentral:rRNA from 1 species
CCUACGGGUGGCAGCAGUGAGGAAUAUUGGUCAAUGGGCGGAAGCCUGAACCAGCCAAGUCGCGUGAGGGAUUAAGGCCCUGCGGGUCGUAAACCUCUUUUGCCGGGGAGCAAUGGUCCGCACGCGUCCGGACCGGGAGAGUACCCGGAGAAAAAGCAUCGGCUAACUCCGUGCCAGCAGCCGCGGUAAUACGGAGGAUGCGAGCGUUAUCCGGAUUUAUUGGGCUUAAAGGGAGCGUAGGCGGGCCUUCAAGUCAGCGGUCAAAUCGAGCGGCUCAACCGCGCCCCGCCAUUGAGACUGGAGGUAUUGAGUGGAAGAGAGGCAGGCGGAAUGCGUGGUGUAGCGGUGAAAUGCAUAGAUAUCACGAAGAACCCCGAUUGCGAAGGCAGCAUGCCGGGGUCCGACUGACGCUGAGGCACGAAGGUGCGGGGAUCGAACAGGAUUAGAUACCCGAGUAGUC